UACGGGGGGAGCAAGCGUUGUUCGGAUUUACUGGGCGUAAAGGGCGCGUAGGCGGCGUAACAAGUCACUUGUGAAAUCUCCGGGCUUAACCCGGAGUGGCCAAGUGAUACUGUUGUGCUAGAGUGCGGAAGGGGCUACUGGAAUUCUCGGUGUAGCGGUGAAAUGCGUAGAUAUCGAGAGGAACACCUGCGGCGAAGGCGGGUAGCUGGGCCGACACUGACGCUGAGGCGCGAAAGCCAGGGGAGCGAACGGG
rnacentral:rRNA from 1 species